rnacentral:rRNA from 1 species
AGCGAACGCUGGCGGCAGGCCUAACACAUGCAAGUCGAACGAAGUCUUCGGACUUAGUGGCGGACGGGUGAGUAACAUGUGGGAACGUACCCUUUGGUUCGGAACAACUCAGGGAAACUUGAGCUAAUACCGAAUGUGCCCUUCGGGGGAAAGAUUUAUCGCCAUUAGAGCGGCCCGCGUUAGAUUAGCUAGUUGGUGGG